rnacentral:tRNA from 2 species
GGGCUCAUAGCUCAGCUGGGAGAGCGUUCGGUUCGCAUCCGAGAGGUCGAGGGUUCGAGUCCCUUUGGGUCCA